GUGCUUGCUUCAGCAGCACAUAUACUAAAAUUGGAAUGAUACAGAGAUUAACAUGGCUCCUGUGCAAGGAUGACAUGCAAAUUUGUGAAGCAUUCCAUAUUUUU
ensembl:snRNA U6 U6 spliceosomal RNA